rnacentral:rRNA from 1 species
GAUGAACGCUAGCGGCAGGCCUAACACAUGCAAGUCGAGGGGUAACAUAGGAAAGCUUGCUUUUCUGAUGACGACCGGCGCACGGGUGCGCAACGCGUAUACAACCUACCUUUUAGCGGGGAAUAGCCCAGGGAAACUUGGAUUAAUGCCCCAUAGUAUAUAGACUUCUCCUGAAGUUUAUAUUAAACAUUUAUGGCUAUUAGAUGGGUAUGCGUCCUAUUAGUUAGUUGGUAAGGUAACGGCUUACCAAGGCAGCGAUAGGUAGGGGUCCUGAGAGGGAGAUCCCCACACUGGUACUGAGACACGGACCAGACUCCUACGGGAGGCAGCAGUGAGGAAUAUUGGACAAUGGGCGAGAGCCUGAUCCAGCCAUGCCGCGUGCAGGAAGACUGCCCUAUGGGUUGUAAACUGCUUUUACAGAGGAAGAACCACCCCCACGUGUGGGGGUUUGACGGUACUCUGCGAAUAAGGAUCGGCUAACUCCGUG